UGGAAGACUAGUGAUUUUGUUGUUUCUGUAGCUCAUCUCAUGACAACAAGUCACAGUCUGCCUUC
rnacentral:pre_miRNA from 1 species